CAGUAGGUGGCGGUAUGCGUCUUUACAGUUGGUUUGCAACCCGUCAGUAAACACAGAAGAAAAAAGCGCUCGCGUGUGAUGUGUUUUGUUGAUGAUGAGAUGGAUGUGACUGACGGGAGCUCCCGUGCCGCUGGAGAACAGCAGCAGAUCCUGCAGACCAAACUCAAGAUGUGUUCAGUCAAACUCAUCGACUGCACGAACCUCGUGAAGAAGAUGAGAAGUGAAACACCCCCGUCAAGUGAGCCGUCAUCUGCAAAUGCAUGGUCAAGCCAGCCGCAGCCUAAACUGUGUUGCACGUCAUUCUGUAACAUUACGGAUUUAUCUAUUAACAGGAUCUUCUUCAGGAUGACCCCACUCUGUUUGUUACUUAUCAAAAUAAAUUACAGCAGAUUAACAAAGAAACUGUACACAAAGACUGUCCACAAUAAAUGAACAUGCAUCAUU